AAAUCACAUGUAAACAUCCAAUAAACACACAACUGCAACAAUGAUUUGACUGUGUGAAUUUGAAAAGCAAGAUUAGCAUAAGGACUCAGUAACGUUAGUCCUCACAUCUCCUGGAGCCUGGAUGGAUAUUUUACCUGAACUUUUAGGAACAGUGCAAAUGUUGAACGUUAUAAUUUGUGGUUACAUGAACUGGAACAUUGCCCUGCAUUUUAUGACAGAUUUGAACUGCGUGCCUCUGUUUGAAACUCCAAGGUACUUACAAGAAAGGAUAAUUGGAUAAUUUGGAUAUUUUCGACGAGGAUCCGACCGUGUGAAUGUCUUGAGAAGAGAAAGGGGGUAACUUUAGCCUAAUUUAGCAAGCUAACAAUAGCUGGAGGACUCAUUUUCACAUCACACACAGAUACACCUUUUCAUUUGCAACUCCGGUGCUUCUAAAAAUAACAUUUUAAGAUCGAGUGAGACCUUUGUUAUUUUUACGUUAUUGCAGUUGGUUUAUAUAGAAAUUGACUAGAGUUACGAUCAGAUUUUAUGCUUGGUAAUGUUACCUAAAGUGGCAGAGCUUUUAAUCUUUUUGAUGAUGUGAGUAAGGAGUAACUGCUAUUAUAAUGAAAAUUCUUUACAAUUCAUUUUUGACCAAUAGAUGUCUGCCACCACUGCUAAUCUUGAAAAGAUGGGUAACCUGCCUGUGACUCCUCAUUUGAUUCUGCCUGGUUCAGAUGAUACUUUGGGCCAGUGGAUAAAACAAUGGAUGAUCAGCAUGGAAGGCAGAGUAAUCUGUGAGGGUGAGCAUGCACACUGGAAUUCCUUCAAAGAUGCUUUGCUGGCAUAAAUCCAGAGAGGGGAACCAAGGCUGUGAGAGGAAAUGUGACGUCAAAAA